GUGCCAGCAGCCGCGGUAAUUCCAGCUCCAAUAGCGUAUAUUAAAGUUGUUGUGGUUAAAAAGCUCGUAGUUGAACCUUGGGCCUGGCUGGCCGGUCCGCCUCACCGCGUGCACUGGUCCGGCCGGGCCUUUCCCUCUGUGGAACCCCAUACCCUUCACUGGGCGUGGCGGGGAAACAGGACAUUUACUUUGAAAAAAUUAGAGUGCUCCAGGCAGGCCUAUGCUCGAAUACAUUAGCAUGGAAUAAUAAAAUAGGACGCGCGGUUCUAUUUUGUUGGUUUAUAGGACCGCCGUAAUGAUUAAUAGGGACAGUCGGGGGCAUCAGUAUUCAACUGUCAGAGGUGAAAUUCUUGGAUCAGUUGAAGACUAACUACUGCGAAAGCAUUUGCCAAGGAUGUUUUCAUUAAUCAGGAACGAAAGUUAGGGGAUCGAAGACGAUCAGAUACCGUCGUAGUCUUAACCAUAAACUAUGCCGACUAGGGAUCGGACGGUGUUAUUCAUGACCCGUUCGGCACCUUACGAGAAAUCAAAGUGCUUGGGCUCCAGGGGGAGUAUGGUCGCAAGGCUGAAACUUAAAGAAAUUGACGGAAGGGCACCACCAGGGGUGGAGCCUGCGGCUUAAUUUGACUCAACACGGGGAAACUCACCAGGUCCAGACACAAUAAGGAUUGACAGAUUGAGAGCUCUUUUCUUGAUUUUUGUGGGUGGUGGUGCAUGGGCCGUUCUUAGUUGGUGGGGGUGACUUGUUCUGCUUUAAUUGCGAUAACGAAACGGAG
rnacentral:rRNA from 1 species